rnacentral:rRNA from 1 species
GAUGAACGCUGGCGGCGUGCUUAACACAUGCAAGUCGAACGGAAAGGCCCAAGCUUGCUUGGGUACUCGAGUGGCGAACGGGUGAGUAACACGUGGGUGAUCUGCCCUGCACUUCGGGAUAAGCCUGGGAAACUGGGUCUAAUACCGGAUAGGACGAUGGUUUGGAUGCCAUUGUGGAAAGUUUUUUCGGGGUGGGAUGAGCUCGCGGCCUAUCAGCUUGUUGGGGGGGUAAUGGCCUACCAAGGCGUCGACGGGUAGCCGGCCUGUGAGGGUGUACGGCCACAUUGGGAGUGAGAUACGGCCCAGACUCCUACGGGGGGCAGCAGAGGGGAAUAUUGCACAAUGGGGGCAAGCCUGAUGCAGCGACGCGGCGUGGGGGGUGACGGCCUUCGGGUUGUAAACUCCUUUCGCUAGGGACGAGGCGUUUUUGUGACGGUACCUGGAGAAGAAGCACCGGCUAACUACGUG